GUGAGGAAUUUUCCGCAAUGGACGAAAGUCUGAUGGAGCAACGCCGCGUGAACGAUGAAGGCUUUCGGGUCGUAAAGUUCUGUUGUAAGGGAAGAACAAGUGCCGCAGGCAAUGGCGGCACCUUGACGGUACCUUGCGAGAAAGCCACGGCUAACUACGUGCCAGCAGCCGCGGUAAUACGUAGGUGGCAAGCGUUGUCCGGAAUUAUUGGGCGUAAAGCGCGCGCAGGCGGCCUCUUAAGUCUGAUGUGAAAGCCCCCGGCUCAACCGGGGAGGGCCAUUGGAAACUGGGAGGCUUGAGUAUAGGAGAGAAGAGUGGAAUUCCACGUGUAGCGGUGAAAUGCGUAGAGAUGUGGAGGAACACCAGUGGCGAAGGCGACUCUUUGGCCUAUAACUGACGCUGAGGCGCGAAAGCGUGGGGAGCAAACAGGAUUAGAUACCCGAGUAGUCC
rnacentral:rRNA from 1 species